GACGAACGCUGGCGGCGUGCCUAAUACAUGCAAGUCGAGCGAAUCGAUGGGAGCUUGCUCCCUGAGAUUAGCGGCGGACGGGUGAGUAACACGUGGGUAACCUGCCUGUAAGACUGGGAUAACUUCGGGAAACCGGAGCUAAUACCGGAUACUUUCUUUUCUCGCAUGAGGGAAGAUGGAAAGAUGGUUCUGCUAUCACCUACAGAUGGACCCGCGGCGCAUUAGCUAGUUGGUGAGGUAACGGCUCACCAAGGCAACGAUGCGUAGCCGACCUGAGAGGGUGAUCGGCCACACUGGGACUGAGACACGGCCCAGACUCCUACGGGAGGCAGCAGUAGGGAAUCUUCCGCAAUGGACGAAAGUCUGACGGAGCAACGCCGCGUGAGCGAAGAAGGCCUUCGGGUCGUAAAGCUCUGUUGUUAGGGAAGAACAAGUACGAGAGUAACUGCUCGUACCUUGACGGUACCUAACCAGAAAGCCACGGCUAACUACGUGCCAGCAGCCGCGGUAAUAC
rnacentral:rRNA from 1 species